rnacentral:rRNA from 1 species
GGGUUGUGAGGUUAAGCGACUAAGCGUACACGGUGGAUGCCCUGGCAGUCAGAGGCGAUGAAGGGCGUACUAAUCUGCGAUAAGCGCCGGUAAGGUGAUAUGAACCGUUAUAACCGGCGAUACCCGAAUGGGGAAACCCAGUGUGAUUCGUCACACUAUCAUUAACUGAAUCCAUAGGUUAAUGAGGCGAACCGGGGGAACUGAAACAUCUAAGUACCCCGAGGAAAAGAAAUCAACCGAGAUUCCCCCAGUAGCGGCGAGCGAACGGGGAGGAGCCCAGAGCCUGAAUCAGCAUGUGUGUUAGUGGAAGCGUCUGGAAAGGCGCGCGAUACAGGGUGACAGCCCCGUACACAAAAGCGCAUGUGCUGUGAGCUCGAUGAGUAGGGCGGGACACGUGGUAUCCUGUCUGAAUAUGGGGGGACCAUCCUCCAAGGCUAAAUACUCCUGACUGACCGAUAGUGAACCAGUACCGUGAGGGAAAGGCGAAAAGAACCCCGGCGAGGGGAGUGAAAAAGAACCUGAAACCGUGUACGUACAAGCAGUGGGAGCCCCACCACCAAAGCAUUUGCUGUACCGCGUUGACGGAGCGAAGCGACGUCAAACCGNNNNNNNNNNNNNNNNNNNNNNNNNNNNNNNNNNNNNNNNNNNNNNNNNNNNNNNNNNNNNNNNNNNNNNNNNNNNNNNNNNNNNNNNNNNNGGUGUGACUGCGUACCUUUUGUAUAAUGGGUCAGCGACUUAUAUUCUGUAGCAAGGUUAACCGAAUAGGGGAGCCGGAGGGAAACCGAGUCUUAAUUGGGCGUUAAGUUGCAGGGUAUAGACCCGAAACCCGGUGAUCUAGCCAUGGGCAGGUUGAAGGUUGGGUAACACUAACUGGAGGACCGAACCGACUAAUGUUGAAAAAUUAGCGGAUGACCUGUGGCUGGGGGUGAAAGGCCAAUCAAACCGGGAGAUAGCUGGUUCUCCCCGAAAGCUAUUUAGGUAGCGCCUCGUGAAUUCAUCUCCGGGGGUAGAGCACUGUUUCGGCUAGGGGGCCAUCCCGGCUUACCAACCCGAUGCAAACUGCGAAUACCGGAGAAUGUUAUCACGGGAGACACACGGCGGGUGCUAACGUCCGUCGUGAAGAGGGAAACAACCCAGACCGCCAGCUAAGGUCCCAAAGUCAUGGUUAAGUGGGAAACGAUGUGGGAAGGCCCAGACAGCCAGGAUGUUGGCUUAGAAGCAGCCAUCAUUUAAAGAAAGCGUAAUAGCUCACUGGUCGAGUCGGCCUGCGCGGAAGAUGUAACGGGGCUAAACCAUGCACCGAAGCUGCGGCAGCGACACUGUGUGUUGUUGGGUAGGGGAGCGUUCUGUAAGCCUGCGAAGGUGGCCUGUGAGGGUUGCUGGAGGUAUCAGAAGUGCGAAUGCUGACAUAAGUAACGAUAAAGCGGGUGAAAAGCCCGCUCGCCGGAAGACCAAGGGUUCCUGUCCAACGUUAAUCGGGGCAGGGUGAGUCGACCCCUAAGGCGAGGCCGAAAGGCGUAGUCGAUGGGAAACGGGUUAAUAUUCCCGUACUUGGUGUUACUGCGAAGGGGGGACGGAGAAGGCUAUGUUGGCCGGGCGACGGUUGUCCCGGUUUAAGCGUGUAGGUGUGUGUUCCAGGUAAAUCCGGUUCACUUUAACACUGAGGCGUGACGACGAGGCACUACGGUGCUGAAGCAACAAAUGCCCUGCUUCCAGGAAAAGCCUCUAAGCAUCAGGUAACAUCAAAUCGUACCCCAAACCGACACAGGUGGUCAGGUAGAGAAUACCAAGGCGCUUGAGAGAACUCGGGUGAAGGAACUAGGCAAAAUGGUGCCGUAACUUCGGGAGAAGGCACGCUGACACGUAGGUGAAGUGAUUUACUCAUGGAGCUGAAGUCAGUCGAAGAUACCAGCUGGCUGCAACUGUUUAUUAAAAACACAGCACUGUGCAAACACGAAAGUGGACGUAUACGGUGUGACGCCUGCCCGGUGCCGGAAGGUUAAUUGAUGGGGUCAGCGCAAGCGAAGCUCCUGAUCGAAGCCCCGGUAAACGGCGGCCGUAACUAUAACGGUCCUAAGGUAGCGAAAUUCCUUGUCGGGUAAGUUCCGACCUGCACGAAUGGCGUAAUGAUGGCCAGGCUGUCUCCACCCGAGACUCAGUGAAAUUGAACUCGCUGUGAAGAUGCAGUGUACCCGCGGCAAGACGGAAAGACCCCGUGAACCUUUACUAUAGCUUGACACUGAACAUUGAGCCUUGAUGUGUAGGAUAGGUGGGAGGCUUUGAAGUGUGGACGCCAGUCUGCAUGGAGCCGACCUUGAAAUACCACCCUUUAAUGUUUGAUGUUCUAACGUGGACCCGUUACCCGGGUUGCGGACAGUGUCUGGUGGGUAGUUUGACUGGGGCGGUCUCCUCCUAAAGAGUAACGGAGGAGCACGAAGGUUGGCUAAUCCUGGUCGGACAUCAGGAGGUUAGUGCAAUGGCAUAAGCCAGCUUGACUGCGAGCGUGACGGCGCGAGCAGGUGCGAAAGCAGGUCAUAGUGAUCCGGUGGUUCUGAAUGGAAGGGCCAUCGCUCAACGGAUAAAAGGUACUCCGGGGAUAACAGGCUGAUACCGCCCAAGAGUUCAUAUCGACGGCGGUGUUUGGCACCUCGAUGUCGGCUCAUCACAUCCUGGGGCUGAAGUAGGUCCCAAGGGUAUGGCUGUUCGCCAUUUAAAGUGGUACGCGAGCUGGGUUUAGAACGUCGUGAGACAGUUCGGUCCCUAUCUGCCGUGGGCGCUGGAGAACUGAGGGGGGCUGCUCCUAGUACGAGAGGACCGGAGUGGACGCAUCACUGGUGUUCGGGUUGUCAUGCCAAUGGCACUGCCCGGUAGCUAAAUGCGGAAGAGAUAAGUGCUGAAAGCAUCUAAGCACGAAACUUGCCCCGAGAUGAGUUCUCCCUGAGACUUAAAGUCUCCUGAAGGAACGUUGAAGACGACGACGUUGAUAGGCCGGGUGUGUAAGCGCAGCGAUGCGUUGAGCUAACCGGUACUAAUGAACCGUGAGGCUUAACCUUACAACGCCGAAG